rnacentral:rRNA from 1 species
UACGGGGGGGGCAAGCGUUGUUCGGAAUUACUGGGCGUAAAGGGCGCGUAGGCGGUUGGAUACGUCAGCUGUGAAAACCACGGGCUUAACUCGUGGCCUGCAGUUGAGACUGUCUGGCUUGAGUGCAGGAGAGGAAUGCGGAAUUCCAGGUGUAGCGGUGAAAUGCGUAGAUAUCUGGAGGAACACCGGUGGCGAAGGCGGCAUUCUGGACUGUAACUGAUACUGAGGAACGAAAGCCAGGGGAGCAAACGGG